rnacentral:rRNA from 1 species
AUACGGAGGGUGCAAGCGUUAAUCGGAAUUACUGGGCGUAAAGAGUACGUAGGUGGUUUGUUAAGUCAGAUGUGAAAGCCCCGGGCUCAACCUGGGAACUGCAUUUGAAACUGGCAAACUAGAGUAUGGUAGAGGGGGGUAGAAUUUCUAGUGUAGCGGUGAAAUGCGUAGAUAUUAGAAGGAAUACCAGUGGCGAAGGCGGCCCCCUGGACCAAUACUGACACUGAGGUACGAAAGCGUGGGUAGCGAACAGGAUUAGAUACCCGAGUAGUCC